GAUCUAGUCAUUCACCAUGGCACCAACUGGAAAGUGCUGGUUCCAGGACUGGCUUCCAACAGGCAGUGUGGAAAUGUCUGCAACACCUUUGCGCCUCUCCACCUCCUGCCACCCUCAAGCACUCUCCCCACAGGAUCCCAACCUUCACGUCCUCCCACAGGCUUUCAUGCCGUAGCCCCGGGCACAAA